GUGAGAGGGGCCGGAGGCUCCGCCAGCACGGUGACCCUGGGCGAGGCAGGGAGGCAUCACGACAGGUGGAGGUGGUGAUGCAGGCCUUUAAUCCUAGCCGUUGGGAGGCAGGAGCAGGAGAAUCUCUUGAGUCCAGGACUGCAGAAGAGGCUGAGAAGCUCAACACCCCUGGCUUGAUCCUACUCAUGGGUAGGACCACGGAAGAAACCUCAGCCCCAGAGCAGUCACGAGAAUCAGUCUGGAAAUAGGUCAUCUUCCACAUGGACUUACACUAUGGCAGAGACACUGUCCCCCGAAGCAACCCCAGUCCUCAAAGUCUAUACAAGACACAAGCAGGCAGCUGCAAGAUAUAGGCAGAGGGACCCUGCAGACAGCCACAACUAUGCAAAGUAUGUCUCCAAUGGCAAAGAGGCUACUGCAGCCACCUCUGUGGGAGUUAAGGAAAAGUCGUAUCUAUCACCAACACUUCAGAAGAAGAAGGCUGUCUCACCAUCCUCACUUCUGGCCAUAAAACAUCUCCCUUAAUUCUGUCCCAUGUUAAAGUUCCAUCACACCAAUGAGAAUAUCAAGAAACAUCACACAAUACAGAAAACAACAUGGAGCCCACAGAGAAGAAGCAAACACAAUCCAAGCCCACCCCACCCCUACUCCAUCAAUCAGCUCUGGGGUUAGAGAGAGCUGCCACAGGAAGACAGCUGCGGAAUAUGAACCGGAUGGAGCUCACCACAGCCUCUCCUUGCCCUUCCAGCCUCCAGGAUGGUAACAGACAGGUUUCUGUGGAGUGUAAGCUGACAAGAUUAAUGCAGAUU
rnacentral:lncRNA from 1 species